rnacentral:rRNA from 1 species
GGGUCAGUAGGUUGGUCGUGCCACCGGUACGUACUGGUCUCACUGAUUCCUCCUUCCUGAAGAACCGUAAUGCCAUUAAUUUGGUGUUGCGGGGAAACAGGACUGUUACUUUGAAAAAAUUAGAGAGUUUAAAGCAAGCUAACGCUUGAAUACAUUAGCAUGGAAUAAUGAAAUAGGACGAUCGAUCCUAUUUUGUUGGUUUCUAGGAUUGACGUA